rnacentral:lncRNA from 10 species
GUGCAUACAAACUGGGAACAGAACCUGGACUCCCGAGGCCGGUCCUGGUUCUCAGAGUGAGGAUGUGCCGUCACCACGGAGCCAAGCAUGAAAUUUUGGGUCCCUCUCUGCCUCAGCAUAAUUCGUUCUCUGAAGGGACCACUAGCACAGCUGAGAAGUGCUUUAAGUCUGAGCACCACCGCGGAGACAAAGUACGGCUGGAGGACGAGUAUCAGUGCUGAGUCUGAUCUGCACACACUGAAGAUGCCCCCCAGGUCAUCUGGGUAUGAAACAGCUGCAAUCCGCAACGGCCCUGGGAGAAACCACUGAAGAGUGCCCUUCAGCAUCCACAGCAAGAAAAUCAGGCCACAGAAAGCUGUAAAGAGCCUUGGGAUGGAGACUGAGAAGAGGCAGGACCACCUCUGACAUUUACGUCAGUAGUGAGAAUCAGGUGGACUGAUGAAACCUCUAGUAAACCAAAGGCACCCUACACCUACGAUAGUUGUUAAGAUGUGCACAGACGUAGGAUUGACCCACAUCAAACCAUCAGAGGAAGCAUGCAGAGAUGCAGCAUGCACAUGACUCUCUAGGCCUCAGUUUCCUCACUAGUAAAAGAGACAACUUUAAUGAGUUGGUAUAUGCAAAUGAGUUAUGUACAAAUGAAAUGAGGUAUGCAAAUGAGUUGAUGUACAUAAAUGAGUUGAUACAUGCAAAUGAUUGAUGUAUGUGAAUGUAUUACGUAUGUAAAUGAGCUGUUGUAUGUAAUGCACUCAGAACAGUACUCAGUACCCAGCCCUAGGGAAGAAUUUUCAAAUA